rnacentral:rRNA from 1 species
AUUGAACGCUGGCGGCACGCCUAACACAUGCAAGUCGAGCGGUAACAUGCUUAGUAGCAAUACUAAGUGAUGACGAGCGGCGGACGGGUGAGGAACACGUAGGAACCUGCCCAAAAGUGGGGGAUAACUAAGGGAAACUUUAGCUAAUACCGCAUAAUUCUCUGAGGAGAAAAGUUGCCCGUAAGGGUAGCGCUUUUGGAGGGGCCUGCGUCCGAUUAGUUAGUUGGUGAGGUAAUGGCUCACCAAGACUGUGAUCGGUAACUGGUCUGAGAGGACGACCAGUCACACUGGGACUGAGACACGGCUCAGACUCCUACGGGAGGCAGCAGUGGGGAAUCUUGGACAAUGGGGGCAACCCUGAUCCAGCGAUGCCGCGUGGGUGAAGAAGGCCUUCGGGUUGUAAAGCCCUUUAGGCUGGGAAGAAGAGUGUGGGAUGAAUAAUCCUGUACUUUGACGGUACCAGCAGAAUAAGCACCGGCAAACUCUGUGCCAGCAGCCGCGGUAA